rnacentral:tmRNA from 1 species
GGGGAUGUAAUGGCUUCGACAGGCAUUGGCAGCUCAACAGUGCAGUAGUGUGGCAGACUAUAAUUGCUACUAGGCUUUCGAAUAAACGGAAACUCUAAAAAAGAAGAACUAAGUGUUUCACCACUUAUGUUCAAUAAUCAAUCAAACCUAUUAUUCGCUUAAUUAAAAGCAUAUAGUCGUCUUCAAUAGCCCGAUAUUGAAUGUACGUUGUAAGGGAUAGAUAAUUAAAAAUUGACACUAUUUUAAUUAUUGAAAUAACAGUGUCCUCAUAAACUUAUUUUUUGUUUAUUAGUAACUUAUGAAAAUUAAAAUAAACUAAACUGUAGUACUUAAGAGUGUGUUGGUGUGUGGACCGGGGUUCAAUUCCCCGCAUCUCCACCA